rnacentral:lncRNA from 1 species
GACUAAUUCAAGAUCAAAUGGUUUGGAUCCAGUUCUCUGACUCAUAACCCUUUGUUCCUUUCACUACAUCUCAGCAGCAACAACAAAAGGAUCCAAUUGAUCCAUUGGAGAAAGAAAUUGUCAGCCACUCCAGUGUCCCUGCCAAGAAAACCUUAUGGAUAGCUUUGGUCCAUGAUGUCAUGAAGAGUUAGACACAAAUGAGUGAUUAAACAACAACAUCUCAACAAGCAUGUUUGUAGGAUGCAAGAAAAUUUCUGAGAGUCAUGUGUGUGAUGACUAUGAGGCACAAUCAGCCAAACUUUCAUGGAAUUUUAGGAUGGUAGCUGUUAGUGCAUCUUCUGAUUGUGGCCCUUUGGACACAAUUCCAAAUUGCUCAACAGAAUGGUUGGAUCAGUUCACAACUCCACCAGGAAGACAUUAUUGAGCUGAAUUUUCAAGGAGCAUCAGGAAAUCAGGAACAUUCUGGGCAUGGAGAAAAGGUCAGUGAAAAUAGCAUUGAGGUUAGAAAAUGAAAUAUCAUGUGCUAAAAAAUGUAAGAACAGUGGCACUGGAUGGUAGAGUCCAUAGAAGAGAAUAAUGUGUAAAAAAUACUACAAAAGUAGGAAAGGGUUGGUUUGAAAAAGGUUUCUAAAAGCAAAAUGGAAGAUUUUACAUUUGAUCCUAGAAGUAACAAAAAGCCAGUGGAGUUUAUUUAGUAAGGGGAAGGAGUGACAUGACAAGGCUUAACCUUUAGGGAGAUGAUUUUGGUAGUUGAGUAGAGAAUGGACUGGAGAGAGACUUAAGUCAGGCAAAGAAAUUUGCAAGCUAUUUUAGCCUUCUGGGCAUGAGAAGAUGAGGGUUUAGACAAGGAGGAUGGCUGUGUGAGUGGACAGAUGUUGUGAAAGAUGUAUAUGAGAG